rnacentral:rRNA from 1 species
AAUCAGUGUGUGUGUUAGUGGAAGCGUCUGGAAAGGCGCGCGAUACAGGGUGACAGCCCCGUACACAAAAAUGCACAUGCUGUGAGCUCGAUGAGUAGGGCGGGACACGUGGUAUCCUGUCUGAAUAUGGGGGGACCAUCCUCCAAGGCUAAAUACUCCUGACUGACCGAUAGUGAACCAGUACCGUGAGGGAAAGGCGAAAAGAACCCCGGCGAGGGGAGUGAAAAAGAACCUGAAACCGUGUACGUACAAGCAGUGGGAGCACAGAGCAAUCUGUGUGACUGCGUACCUUUUGUAUAAUGGGUCAGCGACUUAUAUUCUGUAGCAAGGUUAACCGAAUAGGGGAGCCGAAGGGAAACCGAGUCUUAACUGGGCGUUAAGUUGCAGGGUAUAGACCCGAAACCCGGUGAUCUAGCCAUGGGCAGGUUGAAGGUUGGGUAACACUAACUGGAGGACCGAACCGACUAAUGUUGAAAAAUUAGCGGAUGACUUGUGGCUGGGGGUGAAAGGCCAAUCAAACCGGGAGAUAGCUGGUUCUCCCCGAAAGCUAUUUAGGUAGCGCCUCGUGAAUUCAUCUCCGGGGGUAGAGCACUGUUUCGGCAAGGGGGUCAUCCCGACUUACCAACCCGAUGCAAACUGCGAAUACCGGAGAAUGUUAUCACGGGAGACACACGGCGGGUGCUAACGUCCGUCGUGAAGAGGGAAACAACCCAGACCGCCAGCUAAGGUCCCAAAGUCAUGGUUAAGUGGGAAACGAUGUGGGAAGGCCCAGACAGCCAGGAUGUUGGCUUAGAAGCAGCCAUCAUUUAAAGAAAGCGUAAUAGCUCACUGGUCGAGUCGGCCUGCGCGGAAGAUGUAACGGGGCUAAACCAUGCACCGAAGCUGCGGCAGCGACACUGUGUGUUGUUGGGUAGGGGAGCGU